UGCGUCUGACGUGACUGACUGGUAGC
rnacentral:piRNA from 1 species